UACCAGCACCCCGAGUGGUCGGGACGAUUAUUGGGCCUAAAGCAUCCGUAGCCGGUCAUGCAAGUCUUCCGUUAAAUCCAGCCGCUCAACGGUUGGGCUGCGGAGGAUACUACGUGGCUAGGAGGCGGGAGAGGCAAGCGGUACUCAGUGGGUAGGGGUAAAAUCCUUUGAUCCAUUGAAGACCACCAGUGGCGAAGGCGGCCUUCUGGACGGUGACUGACGCUGAGACGCGAAAGCGUGGGGAGCAAACAGG
rnacentral:rRNA from 1 species